GGGUUGUGAGGUUAAGCGACUAAGCGUACACGGUGGAUGCCCUGGCAGUCAGAGGCGAUGAAGGACGUGCUAAUCUGCGAUAAGCGUCGGUAAGGUGAUAUGAACCGUUAUAACCGGCGAUUUCCGAAUGGGGAAACCCAGUGUGUUUCGUCACACUAUCAUUAACUGAAUCCAUAGGUUAAUGAGGCGAACCGGGGGAACUGAAACAUCUAAGUACCCCGAGGAAAAGAAAUCAACCGAGAUUCCCCCAGUAGCGGCGAGCGAACGGGGAGCAGCCCAGAGCCUGAAUCAGUGUGUGUGUUAGUGGAAGCGUCUGGAAAGGCGCGCGAUACAGGGUGACAGCCCCGUACACAAAAAUGCACAUACUGUGAGCUCGAUGAGUAGGGCGGGACACGUGGUAUCCUGUCUGAAUAUGGGGGGACCAUCCUCCAAGGCUAAAUACUCCUGACUGACCGAUAGUGAACCAGUACCGUGAGGGAAAGGCGAAAAGAACCCCGGCGAGGGGAGUGAAAAAGAACCUGAAACCGUGUACGUACAAGCAGUGGGAGCCUCUUUUAUGGGGUGACUGCGUACCUUUUGUAUAAUGGGUCAGCGACUUAUAUUCUGUAGCAAGGUUAACCGAAUAGGGGAGCCGAAGG
rnacentral:rRNA from 1 species